rnacentral:rRNA from 1 species
UCUGUUUCAUCCUGCCAGUAGUCAUAUGCUUAUCUCAAAGAUUAAGCCAUGCAUGUCUAAGUAUAAACAACUUUGUACUGUGAAACUGCGAAUGGCUCAUUAAAUCAGUUAUAGUUUAUUUGAUGAUACCUUGCUACAUGGAUAACUGUGGUAAUUCUAGAGCUAAUACAUGCAAUCAAGCCCCAACUUCCAGAAGGGGUGUAUUUAUUAGAUAAAAAACCAAUGUAGUUUGCUGCUCUCUUGGAGAUUCAUAAUAACUUCUCAAAUUGCAUGGCCUUGUGCCAGUGAUGCUUCAUUCAAAUAUCUGCCCUAUCAACUUUCAAUGAUAGGAUAGAGGCCUACCAUGGUUUCAAUAGGUAAUGGGGAAUAAGGGUUCAAUUCCAGAGAGGGAGUCUGAGAAAUGGCUACCACAUCCAAGGAAGACAGCAGGCAUGCAAAUUACCCAAUCCCAACAUGGGGAGGUAGUGACAAUAAAUAACAAUAUAGGGCUCUUUCAGAUCUUAUAAUUGGAAUGAGUACAAUUUAAACCCCUUAAUGAGGAACAAUUGGAGGGCAAGUUUGGUGCCAGCAGCCAUGGUAAUUCCAGCUCCAAUAGCAUAUAUUAAAGUUGUUACAGUUAAAAAGCUCAUAGUUGAACUUCAGACCUGGCUGGGCAGUCUGCUUAAUGGCAAGUACUGUUCAGCUGGGCCUUACUUCUUGGUGAGCUGGCAUGCCCUUUAUUGGUAUGCAUCAGGGAACCAGGACUUUUACCUUGAGAAAAUUAGAGUGUUCAAAGCAGGCCUAUGCCUGAAUAUAUUAGCAUAGAAUAAUAAAAUAGGAUAUGCAGUUCUAUUUUGUUGGUUUCUAGAGUCACCAUAAUAAUUAAUAGGGAUAGUUGGGGGCAUUGGUAUUGAGUCACUAGAGGUGAAAUUCUUGGAUUGACUCAAGACCGACUACUGCAAAAGCAUUUGCCAAGGAUGGUUUCAUUAAUCAAGAAUGAAGGUUAGGGGAUCAAAAAUGAUCAGAUACCCGGAGAUGAGGCAUACCACCUCUGCUGAUGACCUUAUCAUGGUUCUCUGGCACUAUGCUAAGAACAGCAUCAAACAGGUAGAAGUUUUCUGGAGUUUUAACAAUCCUGAAUAACUCAAGGAAGGCUAGAAAUGAUCUACUCUUCCAGGAAAUAUAGGACAGAGGCCCCAGCCCAUGAUGACCUCAUCCCUUGACCCUUGAACUCACAACUAAUGCUGACAGAUGUGUCUGUAACUUAUGCCAGGAAAUGUAGUAAGAGUGAAACAUCUUUGUAGCAACUCAACUGUAAUUUAA